GACGAACGCUGGCGGCGUGCCUAAUACAUGCAAGUCGAGCGCAGGAAACUGACGGAACUCUUCGGAGGGAAGGCUGUGGAAUGAGCGGCGGACGGGUGAGUAACACGUAAGGAACCUGCCUCAAGGAUUGGGAUAACUCCGAGAAAUCGGAGCUAAUACCGGAUAGUUCAACGGACCGCAUGGUCCGCUGAUGAAAGGCGCUUCGGCGUCACCUUGAGAUGGCCUUGCGGUGCAUUAGCUAGUUGGUGGGGUAACGGCCCACCAAGGCGACGGUGCAUAGCCGACCUGAGAGGGUGAUCGGCCACACUGGGACUGAGACACGGCCCAGACUCCUACGGGAGGCAGCAGUAGGGAAUCUUCCACAAUGGACGAAAGUCUGAUGGAGCAACGCCGCGUGAGUGAUGAAGGUUUUCGGAUCGUAAAACUCUGUUGUAAGGGAAGAACACGUACGAGAGGGAAUGCUCGUACCUUGACGGUACCUUACGAGAAAGCCACGGCUAACUACGUGCCAGCAGCCGCCGUAA
rnacentral:rRNA from 1 species